rnacentral:lncRNA from 1 species
GUGAGCGCGCGGGACAGAGCGGGGCCCCCGGGGAGGGAGGGGCGGGGCCUAUUACAGAGGGGCGGGGUCUGCGGGAAGAGGCGGAUCCCCAGAGCCCAGGGCCGGUCAGGAGCUGGAUAGGCUGGGCUUGACGGUGGAAGCACCAGUGGCAGAAUAUUAACUACCAACUCCUGGGCAAGAGGAAGAGCCAUCUGGUUCCCCUGCGCCCGUGAGAGCGAAUGUGAGGAAACAGGCUCCAGGUUCAUCACAUGGUGGUCCCAAGGCCGACUUGUGCAAGCCAGGAUGACAGGAGGACGGCGUGGGAGCACUGCUCAAUCCCGUAGCCCUUCCCUGUGGCUGAAGAUGAUCCACCUUCGCCCUGUCUCCUGAGGUCUCCGUGUUUCUGCCCUUCACGGCCCAAAUAAAGCAGCUUUUGCCUCUCUCUGGCCCUCUCCA